rnacentral:misc_RNA from 1 species
AUUUCCCCAAUGGGUUCUCCGGAUUUCUGGAGACUUGUAGGGGUUGUGGGAUUUUUGAUGUGUCGUCUCUGGACGGGCGGUGCAGGGUAGUCGAGUUAGACUUGGUGGAAUUCCGUCGAUAGGAGUUCCGUCGAGUCUGGUCGGCUGUGUGUUGGACGGUGCAGGGUAGGCUGCUUGGACAUGGUCGGUUCGAGGAUCGAUUCGAGGGCCGGCGCCUGUCGAUGAUGUGUGAUGCAUGCGGUCUAGGGUAGGCUGGUUUGUCUUGGUCCAAUUUGAUGUCGGCUCCCGUGCAGGCCAGAGUGAAGGGGGGUCCAGGGUAGGUACAGGGUAGGCAGCUUAUAUUUGGUCGGUGUGGAGGUCGAUUCUCUGGCUGGCGGAUCUGACACUGUCGAAACGAGAUGCGAGCGGUGUAGGGUAGGCUAGUUUCGUCCUCGCCAGGUUGCGAUUUGGACGAGAUAUGUGGUUUAGGGUAGGCUCUAGGGUAAGUAGAAUUCGAGUUUCGUCGCCGACAGUUUUCUGUGUGUGUAUGGUAGGUGCAGGGUAGGCAAAUCUCUCUCCGGCCAGUACUUGUCUGGCGGUCGUGAGUCGAUUUUUUUGUUUU